UCCGUAGGUGAACCUGCGGAGGGAUCAUUACACAAUAAACAUAUGAAGGCUGCACCGCCAACAGGCGGCAAGGCUGGAGUAUUUUAUUACCCUUGUCUUUUGCGCACUUGUUGUUUCCUGGGCGGGUUCGCCCGCCUCCAGGACCACAUGAUAAACCUUUUUUAUGCAGUUGCAAUCAGCGUCAGUACAACAAAUGUAAAUCAUUUACAACUUUCAACAACGGAUCUCUUGGUUCUGGCAUCGAUGAAGAACGCAGCGAAAUGCGAUACGUAGUGUGAAUUGCAGAAUUCAGUGAAUCAUCGAAUCUUUGAACGCACAUUGCGCCCUUUGGUAUUCCAAAGGGCAUGCCUGUUCGAGCGUCAUUUGUACCCUCAAGCUUUGCUUGGUGUUGGGCGUUUUUUGUCUUUGGUUUUGUCCAAAGACUCGCCUUAAAACGAUUGGCAGCCGGCCUACUGGUUUCGCAGCGCAGCACAUUUUUGCGCUUGCAAUCAGCAAAAGAGGACGGCACUCCAUCAAGACUCUAUAUCACUUUUGACCUCG
rnacentral:rRNA from 1 species